UUCUACUACUCAUGACCAAAAAAAACUCAAAAACCUCAUGACAAAUACUAAAAAUUUGUCAUAAGAGCUUGAUGGUUAAUACUCGAGAUCCAAAUUUGAAUUCUAGUUGAUUCAUAUUUUCAGUUAAGUUUAUUUCUAAAUGAAAUAAAUAAAGCGGGUAGUGUGCAGUUUUUAUACAAAAAAUUUAUAACUUACUGGGUGAUAAAGAUGAAAUAAGAUGUAAAAAAAAAAUAAAAAAACUUAAAAAGCCGCAAAACAUAAAGUAUACAAAUACACCNAGAAAACUCCAUCUCUAUAAAAAAAAAAAAAAAAAACUAAAAAUUUCAAAUUCAAAAUCUAACUACUUUAUAUUUGCAACUAAAGUUAUUUCUAAAAAUAUAAAUAAAAAUAAUAGCAUGCUAUACUUAAAAAAAAAAACAAAAAAAUAGAAAAGGCCCAGCUAGCUAGCUAUGGGGCGUAACCGCGUAAGACACUUUACAAUCUCUCUUCUUUUAUACUAUAAAAAACAACAAAACUCACAAUAAUUAUGUUUCUCAUAUUGUAACAACUAUUUUCAUAUUAUAAAAAAAUAAUAAUAAAAAUCUUUUCUGGGCAUUGUGGAAGCAUCCCGACUCGGCUCUAUAUAUAAACAAAUUUAUACUAAUAAACAAACCAAUAAAUUUACAAUAGAAUUUUUAUUGAAAGAUUAACUUUUUCACCACAUGCUAUAGGGUAAUUUUUUAUGCCUAUAACAACUAUACAGAAAAGUCAAUAGUGAAUUAAUUAUUCAAAUUAACCAAUAAAAUUAAAAUAGUUCGGACAAGUACAUAAACCGCCAACUAAAGGAAGUCUGGUACGAGACACAAACUAUGGGACACAAACUAUGGGACACAAACUAUGUUAAAAAUAAAACUUAUAUGCCACAAAAUACACAAGAAAAAUAAUCGACAAUCAUUCAACUGCUCGCAAAACAACAAAUCAAAAGCGAACAAUCUGCGCUCAACCUUGCUUUUGAAAGAAAAUACUCAAAACGAGAGGUUCUACAGCAAUUCUCAAUCUCGCGAAGGUUUUCAACAGUUGCAGCAUCUAAAUAAAGGCAAAAAAAACUAAAAUAUAGCACUUACGUUAGUGAUAUAGUAUCUCCGGCCAAUCAAGUUACUUAUUUUGAAUUCACCCAUGGCAUCAUAAUUUUUAGAAAAAUAUUUUUGUUAUACCUUUCUCUCUUAAAAAAAAAAAAAAAACAGUGAUUGACAAAAAAAACAGUGAUUGACGAGUCGGGAUCUACUACAUAACAGGUUUCCUCGGGAUCUAGAGGUGCAAACUUUAUCUUAAUCACUUAAUCUCCUUUGUCCUAUCCAUAACCCAAAAAACUUUGAAGAAAGAGCAGCGCAUUUAAUUUAAAAUAUUAAAGUUCAAUGUUAAUUACGAUAUUAAAAUAUAACUUUUAUUUCAAUAGAGAUUAUUGCUGAAGCUAAGAUAGAUUCUUCUUAUGAAAUUUCAAGAUUCUUCUUAUGAAAUUUCAAAGACAGCUGUAGCUUUCACUUGUACUACCAAGUUAAAAAUGUACAAGGACAUUGCAGUUGUAACAUCAUAUUGGAAUAUCAGGAUAGUUCCGUUUUCCAAUCACUGUCAAAUAGAAAAAUACUAGCAGUACAUCUGAAAAAUAGGGUGUACAUCAUACAUUCUUUACCAUAAAAAAUAUUUUAAAAUUUUAAUAUUACUUUAAGAAAAUUGACAAUACAAAGAACUAAUAAUAACCCUUAGAUGAUGCAAUAUUCCAUCAUACCUCCUUUUGGAGUAAACAUGUAGCAUUUGCUUGAUCAAAUAUACCUUAACCUUAGACAUGUACAAAUUAAACACAUGAUGCCUUAGAACUGAGAGACUUAAAACCAACUCCAAUUACCCAGAAAAUUAAUCUGAUAAAAAAUAAUAUAAAUAUCUUUAAUAAUAAAUACAUAAUUUUUAAAAUUUAGGAUUAUAAAUACCAAAAAUUGUAUUUGGCGUGCACCAAUCAGGCAAGCACAAAACACGUGUGACCAUAGCUUUACCAGGAGAUUUUUUUUUAAAAAAAAAAAAAAAACCUAAAACGUGUAGAAAGAACAAUGAGAAACUACAAGAAGCCAUGGAGUACUCACCUUAUUAAGGCAAUAGAACACGGUUCCUUUGGUGAAGGCCUUUCACAUGUUGCUUUUUCAUAGGCUAAAAAUCUCAAUGAUGAGGGCUUUCUCUUUCCUCGUCCACAGAUGGGGCAGGGUCUCUCACUGUUGAUUUCUGUGUGUGGAAUUGUUUAAGCAAAACAAGUUUGGCUUAGAAAGAGAGUAUAAUAACAAAACAAAAUAAGAAAGUUCCAUUUUAAUCCUUUACUGCUGACUAUAUAAAUGGUGGAAGAAAUUUUGUAAGAGUAAUACAGAUGAAGUAAUUGACCAAUGACUGAAGGUAUGAAAGUGGGCUUGUAAUUUUAAGUUGUUAAUGUUACUUCACUUGAGCUCACCAAGCCAGCAGCUGAGCCGCCUCCUCGAAGGAAACCACAAAGCAAACCACCAAACGUUUCUUCUCUUGUUAAGAGUGGAAUCCUCCUCCGCUUUGGAUACCUAAAUGAACUGAUAUAGGGAAAUUAACGAACUAAUGUUCAGCUAAUUAAUCGAGUACAGAGAACUUCUCAGAGGCAAAUGGAUAUAGGAUAAUGAAAUGAAGGGUUUCUUUUUUUGCUAAAGAAGCAGUUAUUUACUUAGAAGUAGUAGUUCAGACAAAAUAUAUACAGCAAAAUAAGCCUCACAACGCUAGCAAAUAUAAGGCACCAAUCACAAUAUUGGAGUAAAGAUAAGAAAGGUCUUAUCCCCCCAAAUCAAGAAGGGAUUUGGAUUUGUAAUUCUAAGGAUAACAAUUUCCACUUCAUGCAUCUUAAAUUUGCCUAACAUUCUAAAUAACAUAUUUCUUCAAGUUAUUGUCCCUUUCUUUAAUUUCUGCUUUUCAUAAUUUCCAAGGGAUCAUCUCUGUCUUGAUGACGAGUUGUCUAAAAUGAUGAUGAAGAAGUCGCAUUCGAUAUAAGACUAUCAAUGUGAAUAGCAGCAAAGUCCUUACAACUAUGCCAAACUAAGUCCAAAACAGAAUAUUUAAGAUCUCUGCUAUGAUGAAUCAAAAUCAAACCUCACAAGGCGUAAACACUACGCACUGUUUAUUACCGGUUGAAAGUGUUAUUGGACAAAGUUUUCUUGUUCUAGACAAGGACCACUAGCAAUGACCAGAAAAGGUGGAUAUAAAAAUUUAAAUAAAACAUAAAUAUUUAGGCAAAAUAUAUUACCUUUCAAUCCCUUCAACUUUUGGCGCUAAGAUUUAAGCACCCAUCUGAAGGGAGAGAAAAGAGAGAGGUUUUCAUCCUGUAAAAAUCAAAUGCAAGAAUAUUACAUUUCAUAUGUCACAAAAAAUAAUUUUCUUUUUGCAAACAAUUUUCUUGAAACCAUUUCUUCUUUUUAGAGAGUGAAAACAUUUCUACUUCUUAUUGGGUUGCAAUUGUUCCAGUAUCAGAACAUAGAGAAAUAUAGGAGAAACACAUACUCCAUACUAGUAACACAAAACAAACGAAGGAGCAUGUAUUAAAAGUUAAGAAGCAUUAAUAUGAAGAAAGAGACAAGUAUGUCCAUGUCCAACUAGUAUUAAUAUCAAUUCCUUUAAAAGAGAUGAAAAGAGAGAUGCAUGCAUGGUUCCAUCAGCUAAUAUUCCCUGACAUCUGCUCCGCUUAAUCUUUCACAACCAUCCGAACAAAACUUGUGACGGAGGAAUCCAGUAGGCGGGAGGCGUGAUCCAACGAAACGCCAGCCUAGAAAAAAAAAUUGAGGAAAAUUCAAAUGCAGCAAACAGUUAAAAGAAGUGAACCUCCACACCAAAGCAAUGUGGUUCAAUGUACCAGCUCUUCCCAAUGAUCAACAAAACAUGCUCCUUUAAUAUCACUGAUCGACAAGGUACGGCCAAAUUUCCAGAGGGGCCCCCAUUCAGGUGUCCUCGAUGAAGCUGCUUCUGUGUUCCCUGAAAGAGGAUCUUGCAUAAUCACAAGUGCCAGUAAUGUUACUUUGCAUCCAUGAAAUCCAAGUCUUUGUAGAACGAAAGAUCGAGCCAGACCUCACCAGUUCAUUUGGAUCGCACUCGCGAAUUGAGUGGGCUAUAAAGAGGUACUAAUUGGUAACAUGAUUUCAACAUAGAAGGCCAGUGAUAGCCCAUAGCAAGACUUAUCAUAUCUAAGCAUCUUCCUUUCCAUAAUAAACACCACAGAGACAGAAUAUAGUGGGGUCCAAGACCGAGAAUAUAUACAGUACUCCAUUUCAAGUUUACCCAAUCAGUUACUAGAAUUGAAGCAGACAUAUCAAGAUGAAAAGUAAACAAGAAAAAGAACUAAUGCGGCUAAGUUGCCAUUUAGAGAGAUCUCGAGCAAUCCAUUCUCCAUUGAAUGCUUUGCUGCCACUUCACAUGUUUACUGACUACCUGCUGCUAUUCUGUGUCAUUAUGAUCUCAUUAUGAUCUCAUACUGUUUUGCAACAUAAAAUGCACACUGCCCGAUAAUGAAAGCUAACAUGUUAUAAGAGCCCAGCCCCAUAAGAAAUGAUCAGAUAAAAUAACACAAACAAAACCAUUGUGCAUAACAGCAUCCCAAUCUGAAGUACAUACUAAAACUCAAAAGGAUAACCUGACCAUCUCUAUCUUCUUUCAUGGGCGCCAAAGUAGAUGCAUUACAGGCUUCAAAGACCUAUCUUGAGGAUUGCAUCGUAACCACAAAUCAUCAAUACAGGAUAAAAUAUUGAUGCCUCAUAUGAUCAAUGCACAAGCUGUAAAACACAUUAACAUUGCCACAAGUGGUAUAAUGACAUACUAAGUAAUUAAUAAAAAUUUAUAAAUCUAGUAUGCAAUCGUGGGUGCAUGGCAAACCACAUUUCGACGAUUAAGCCAUCCAAUCUCCACCACCUGGAAACUAUCAAGCAGAUGGACAACGAUUAUUUCAAUUAAAUUAUGUGCGUAACAAUGUUCCUUUUUUCCAGAAUAUCUGCUAUUCUUAUACAUACAUAAAGUCGUCUUUGAUUUCUUUCGCUAAAUUUGCCAGUUACUUUCUAAAUCGGAACUUUUUCUUGUUCCUGGGUUUAUCUCUCCCAUCACAUGCACUUGCCCAAAAGAACAAUGACAUCCAGAAAAGAACAGCAAAGAAAAUCCUCACUCUAUCCUGGACCCUUGAGAUUCUUUCUUGCAAACCUGUCAAAAGGCAAAUUGCAUCCAUAAAAAGGAACAAACACCUUCAUUAUGCAUUGCAUUAGAAUAUGACAGGAUAGCACAUUAAGAUCCAACAUUUUCAAAUUUGUAAAUUAACUCCCAUAAUAACGAAAACAACGCACCAACAAUAUGUUAGCUAAAUAAGCGAAAGAAGUUCCCCUAUACAUUUUGUACAUUAAGGGCAUUACAUACUCUAAAUAAUUUUCUAGAGUAUGAAAAAUCACCUGAUAGGUUGAAACAAUUAUCCUUAAACUAAGGAUUACAGGGACCUUUCCACGAACUAAAAUUGAACUCAUAAGCUCUACGCAUAAAAAGAAAAUAUCCACUUCAUGCUGGUUAUCACCAAAUAACUUGUUCCAACAUUGAAGCUACACCGCAUUAUCGAUGAGAGAAGUUCACAAAAUACUCGUCUAAGUGCAAACCAAAAUUAGGUUGCAAUACAAACCAUAACCUGGUCAUACUAGAGUACUAACUAUAGUUGUAUGAAUAGUACAAUUUAACGAUCUUAACAUUUAGCAUGUUCAGAGAAUCUAACAUUUAACAUUUUGAUGGCCCUAACAUGUAGCGUAGAUCAAUAAUCUAAACAAAAUUCACCUAAAUUAGAACCAACUGGAUCAAAAGCUAACUUGCAUCAGUACGAAAUGAGAUUACUAAGAUCAAAAUUUGCGAUUAUUAUCUCAAAAUAGGGGGGAAGACCAAUUAAAUACACAAAAAGGACCAAUUGGAUCAACUUUUUAUUAGGGUUUACGGAAGCGGAAGAGGUACGAACCGGAGAGGUCAUCGGAGUCACCGCCGGGAGGUGGCGGAGCGCCGGAGUUUGCGGCCGCGCGCCGCCGCGAGGAGCCACGGGGUAGCGGCGGAGCGCGGCGGAGGAGGAGGCGAGGAGAGGGGAGAGAGAGGGGGCGAAGGGGGAGGUCGGGGACGAAGGGACACGCGGGGGAAAAGUAGAUUCGGAAGGGCGAGGCGACGAGAGAGGAGGCGGAGAAGGGAGGAGAAGGCAUUGAGGCGGUGGUCGGGGUUCGCAAAGCUUCCACGGCCCUUCCCUUUCUUUGUAGGCCUCCUUUUACACGUGGAAUUGGGUUGUUAAUGGGCCGGGCUUUAUUGGGCCCAUGUAGGGGCGCUUUGGGUUCGGAUUUGAUAGACCAAUUUGAGUCUUCUUAAAAUUUUGACUAUUCGAACAAAAAAAAAAAAAAUGUUUUUUAAAUUUUAAAUUUUUUUUUUAAUUUCGGAGUUUUUCAUAGUCAUGGGUCCCCUCUCCAAAUGAUUUUUUGUUCCAUACUCAAGUCAGAUUGAAAUUUUUAUUUUUAUCGUGCCCACAACAGAGAUAAUAGUAACUAACAAAUUUGAAGUUUCUGCGAGCGACACACAAAAACACACAUAUACAUACAUAGAGAGAUGGUAUAUAUGUAUCACUAAUUAAACCUCGACAAGUUGAACUACCAUGUAGUGAUUAAUUAAUUAAUUAAUAAUAUAAUAUAACAUGAGGUAGCCUUUUAUUAAGGUUGAAACAGCUUGUUGCCACAGGCACACUUCCAAGCUAGUAAGUAAUAAUUGGACCCGUCCUCGGCCGCACGUGCGGGACUAACGGCCGUGGGCCCGCGCCCGUGCGGGGAGACGACUAAGGUGGCCGUGCAGGGGCUGCAGCUGGAGCACUUGUUGACGCACCGCGGCGGCCGCGAUCCCAACGCCUCCCUCCGGCGCCCGCCUCCCUCCGUCGAACCGUCGACUCCGCCGCCGACGCGGACGCUCCGCUUGGCCCAAACGAGUCCUACUGUUGCUGCAUCAUCGUGAUGAGUGCAUAUUAGACGUCGAAAAAUUUUGCGGCAAUUGAGAGUGAAGACUCCACUUUCGAUUUUUACGAUAGAAAGAAACUGCUGAGAAUUUUCACUAACGUCACUUCACAUAGCAGAAGAACUACUUAUUGAAUAAAAAGAAUAGGUUCAUUGAACUUGGUCAGUGUUCACAAAUAAAAUCAUACUGGGUUUAAUUUAAUGAACCUGCUCUACUAUUAACACUUUCUUUGCUUCGUCACUGUCAUCACCCCCACAUUACAAACAAGAAGAGAGAGAGAGAGAGAGAGAGAGAGAGAGAGAGCUUAAUCACCUGGUGCGGAGGGUAAAAGUGUGGGCAAGAGGAGGAGGAGGAGGAGGGAAGUGGAGAGGGAAAUAGAAAAAAUGGAGAAAGAGAUUAGGGUUAGGGGGAGGAUGAUGGAGAGAGAGAGUUUCUUGAUUGCAAUCCUCAUUCCAGGUUUGCUGAGAUUGUUUGGGCUUUUUUUUGGGAGAGGAGUGGGGAGAGGGAGAGGGGGUUGAGGGAGAAUCGGAACAAGUUGUAGCUAAAUUUGGAGAGCGACAAUUUAAAUGAAAUCAACUGUGCAUGUAGUACUGGUUUUGGUGGCAAGUGAACGAUUUUGUUUUGUUUUUUGUUUUUUUGGUAAAAGUGGGUCGCAUGCGGAGGGCGAGGAAAUCCACCGUCCAAUGGCCAGAUGAACGGGAUCCGACGCGGGGUCCGCAUGCGAGGCGGGUCGCAUAACGGAUCACUCCGGAAACGGCGGAGGAAAAGUGACAGGUGGGUGAGGGCGUCCGCAGAGGAAGCGACGUGGCGGGGUGGUGUUCGGUGCCGGUCCGUACAACACACGCUCGUUCCGUGUAACGGGAUGAUGUGAGACUGACAUGCGGGCCCACGUUUAGUGGGGCCCGAUUUUAGGACUUCCAUGGCCGUGAUAUGUAACUGUGUCAGUGAAAAUAAGAUCACUGAGCCCAAGUCCCAUGUCCCCACUCUGACUACAGGAACAGAGGCACAGGACACAAGCAAUGAGAGAGAGAGAGAGAGAGAGAGAGAGAGAGAGAGAGAGAGAGAGAGGGGUUUUGGGAAGUGGAGAAAACCAACUCUAUCUGCUGAUGACACAGAGAGAUAGUAACGCUUCAUCUACCUUAUAUGGUACCUCAAAGAGAUCUACCUUAGAUGAUAACAAGCAAAUGAGAGUAACCGACCGUCUCUAGAAUAAGGGGUAAAGAACUUGAUGAUUAAUAUUCGAGGUCUCAAGUUUGAAUCCUAGUUGAUUCAAAUUUUCAGUUAAAUUUAUUUUUAAAUGAAAUAAAUAAAACAGAUAACAUGCUACCUAUCUCUCCAAAUAUAUCAUUAAAAAUAAUUCCUUUAAACUCUACUGUUUUAAAUUAUUAAUUAGUAUGGAACAUGCAACAAAUUUAGAUAUAGUAGUAAGUUGUUUAACUUUCAAAUUUAUAAAUGGAAUAUAAAUCAAAUACGUAAAUAAUUUACAAAACCAAACUGUUGUGUUUAAUGCCCAACAUUUCAGCUAUAUUUACGACCGUUUCUAGCGUAAGUGGCAAAAGGACUUGGUGGUUGAUAUCCGAGACCCAAGUUCGAAUCCUAGUUGAUUCACAUUUCCAGCUAAGAUUAUUUCUAAAUAAAAUAAACGAAACGAGUAGCAUACUACCUUUCUCUCUCUCUCAAAAAAAAAAAAAAAAAAAACAAUUCAGCUAUAAAUAGCUGUAGCAUUUACUCGUUUUAUAUUUAGCCCGUUUGUUGUAACUAUACCCACUGACACACCCAGUUUGCACUUUGCACCACUUAAAAAAAGGUGGGGGAAAGAGAAGACACCUGUUUGAUCAGUCCUAGUUCAGAUCAAAGGGACAAAAUUGACUAAAGAGGCCCCUGGAUUUGGUAAGAUAUUUCACUGUCUCACCGGAUUCAAUCAGUGAACCAUCCCCUGUAUUUAUUGUUCUCCUUUUCCAUGGUAAAUGCUUUGGAUCUCCCCACAAAAAAACCUCCUUGUACAGUAUUAAAUGUGCUGAUAAAUCUCACUAGUGUUUUGAAGUAGAUACAUAGAUAAACCAAAAUACUUAUGACACCCUAGGCAUUCAAUAGAUAGCUGCUCAACAUUUCAGAAUAAAUGAUCUAAUUCAACUGUCACAUAAAACACAUAAGAUACUUAGUUUGAAAAGGUGAGUACUUUCGAUUGUUUGGUUGGAUGAUUGAUUUUUUCAAAGUUGUCUAUUUCUACGAGGAACUCGACAUUGCACUUCUCCGGAGUGAUGUCGAGUUUCACUCACAAACUCAAAAAAUUGCUGGACCUGAAAUCAGAUUUACCAAACAAGCCCUAACUCAAUGCAUUACUCUCACUAGAGGAUCCAUCGAAAAUGAAACCAAACUGAGAGCGACAUAAUUGGUAGUUGGAAACCUUUCACAUCAAUAAAGGCUCAUUUCAAAAACGUGCAUAAAGAAAUAUAAAAAAAGGGCUCAGUAAAAAUGCUGAUGUUAGUAGUAAUCGACACCUCUCUAACUAAAAGCUGAUGUUUCCUCUAUAUAUAUAUAAAAAAAAAAAACACUAAAAGCUGAUGUAAGUAAGUGACAGCUUUCCCUCGUAUAUUAUUCUAGCUAGCCUUUCUUUUCAUUUCCAUAUUUUAAUAUUAAUCUUCUAUGAUACAUCCAAUCAAGUGAAUGGACUAUGACAACACAAGACAUCAAGGUUGUAUUCAAAAGAUGUGCAUCACAAGGAAAGGGCUGGGGAUCUCUAUUUCUCUACUUUUUAUUAUAGUACAACUAAGAGGAUAAAGAAACAAAAAAAAGUUGUUCUUAGUGGCUGCAGCCACUUUGUAGAAAGUUUCAGAUGUUUGAUGAAGCUACAGAAGGGACACAACAUACAUUAGAAAAAUUAUUGGGUGAUGCGGUGUAUUAGUACAUUUCAUACUUCAUAUAAAUGUGCAUAAGUAUGUAAAACCAUGGCAUAUGACAUCUUAAAUUUAAAUUUAAAUAUGUAAAAACUCUAAUUCAGAUAACACUCACAAUUAUUGUAUCAGCAUGAAACAACUCUCAUUAAAACAUGAUGUUUAGAAAAUUAGAAUCACAAACUAGCCAAAUGCCAAAGCCAUAAGUACUUGGGCACGAAAUUAAAUUUUGUUACUCUGGAAAGAAAUUAUUCCCCCGCAUCUAAGUCGUGAAAAUUAUUUUCAUCAUUAUUUGGUAUUCAUAUAACAACCGUAGUAAACAAUAGAAGGACAAUUACCUGGAGAUAAAAGUUGCUCGCUGCUGCAGACGCUCCACCUAACACAUGAGGCCUUAAAUUGGUUCAGCUAAGCAUGUCCUAAAAAUUAAACCUACACUGAGAAAAGACUAUUACUCAUAAAAAAUAAAAAAUUAAAAGAAACAAGAAAUAUGUAUAAUCUAUGACAUAAGUAUCAACAAAAACGAUCUAAAUAGUAAAAUGGUUCACAACAAUUUAUUAUAUCGUAUAAAUAAGUGUCGCAUCAGCAUCAUUAUGAAUUUAUGUAGUCGAAAUUAAGACUUGUAAGGAUGAAAAUGAAACAAAAAUCGAACUCUCUGAAUGAAAUUGACAGCAUAAAAUUCAUUUUCAAAUGACUAGUACUGAGCAUGAUCUAUAGAAAUUUUCUCCUUACGCCACAUUUGAAAGAAAUAUUGAAAACCAAGAGUCCUCACAGCAGGUCGUAGAACAUCAAAUGUCAAUAGCCCCAUACACAAUAGAUUGCAAGAUUACUAGUUUCCAAGUACCAUUUACAACACGAAAAAUUAAGUACAAAAAUAAAACCGACAUAACAAUUGGAUGUAACUUAUAAUCGAAUCUUAUAAAUUAUUAGUAAGUUGCAAAAUUUACAUUUAUAGGAAUGUCCCAUAUUUUAUCCAUAUAUAUCGCACUAGACUUGUGAGUUGUGAAUGAGAAGGACUAAGAACCAGGGCCAGGCUUCAUGUGUAAUCACAAAAGCCAUGGCCAAUCUCUAGGGUAGUAAUCAGCUAGCAAGGCCAGAUUCAGCAAGCGAUUCAAUCUCUCGGGUAACAAUCAGCUUGCAAGACCAGAUUCAGCACACCCAAGGGGUGUGCCAUUUUGCACAGGAGCGGAAAACUCUUCUCAGUCACCUGCGAACAACUUCUCAGCGUAAGGACUUUUAGGUGGAGGUGCCUGGCAGAUGCCAGAACCGCAAUGCCAAUAUCGCUGAUCUGGCACCUUGACAUAUCAAGCUCUUUGAGACGAGAGCAACUCACUGAGAUCGCCACGAGGCUCUUGUCGGUAAGCUUCUUACAGCCAUCAAGAUUUAGUAGUUUGAGAGUUCUUCCAUGCGCCUUGACCAGGGCCUCAAUGGCUGCAUCGGUCAGGUCAACACAAUAAGAAAGAUUGACCUUCACCAACCGGUCUCCGGAACCUUCGAUGAAAGGAAGAAGCCCAUUGUCAGUCAAACCAACAAGCCCACUCAGGUCGAUAUGCUCCAACUUUGGGCAGAUGUUUGCCACAAGAGCUAAGCUAUCACUAGUGAGAUCAGGACAUGCGUGAAUAGUCAAGGAUGUAAGAUGGGUGCAGGAGGGGUGUAGCGAAGGAUCAAAGUCCUUAAUCUCCGAACAUUUAGCCGAGGCUAGUGAUUGGUAGUUUGUAUUGGUAUCAAGAGAAGAAAGAGAAACACUGUUGAGAGUGAUCCUGCUGCACCCUUCUAGUUGCAGGCUUUCAAGUGUUCUAGAAGUUUCAGUUACAGCUCUCAGUCCAGAAUCUGACAGGUGGAAAGAUCUGUGGAAGGGCAAAUGUUUCAAACUUGGACAACACUUUCCGAUGGAUUCAAGGGCCAGAUCAGUGACGCCGGAGCAUGAGGUGACUGUUAUGCUAUUGAGAUUUUGCAGGCUUAGAGACUUAGCUGUGAUGCGGAUUUCGCUCUUGCUCACAUUCUGGAGACCACUUAGGGUAAGGUCACUAACACCCUUCCCAUGCCGCCCAACAAAAGCACAAGAAAUGUCACUGAUGUUUAAACCCUCAAGCUUGACCUUCUGGAGGGAAGAAGAGGCAGAAGCCAUGAGGCUCGAGACUCCUAGAUCACCAACUCGUGGGCAGUCCUUGAUAAUAAGGCAGUUCAACUUUUGACAGCAAAGGCCAAUAGCAUGCAGGCCUUCAUUGUGGAUAUUUGCACAUGACUGUACUUUUAGAGAAGUCAAGUUCCGACACUUCCUCGCAACGGCAAUCAAACCCUUCUCUGAGAUUAGCGGGCACUGUGUGAGGUCAAGCUUUUCCAGGAUGGGACAUCCACCAGCAAUUUCAGAUAGGCUAAUGUCAGUGACUAAAGGAACAUUCCACAUUGACAGAAUGCGAAGGGAAGGGCAAGCAUGAGCUACGGCAGAAAGCCCACGGUCAGUGAUACCACAAGUUGGAUUGCCAUAGCUAUUGCUCCCUCGGAUCAAAAGGUCACCAAGCCCUCCACGACUACUAUUACCUGUUUGAUAUAAAAUAUUAACAACAUAUAAUACGAGAGCAAGAGAAUUGAGUUCAAAUCCCACUAGGUCCAUCCACUGUUUAAUUAAAAGAACCGCCUUCCAUGAUGUAGUUGAAAAAUAGGGACCAAAAAAGAAAAAAUAGAGCCGAGACAGAGAGGGAAACUGCUUAAUAAAAAAUUAAAACAGCGUUCUCUAGCAGCCCAAGUUUUUUGAGGGGAAAAUAACAGUCUUCCACAUUACCUACAGCUAUAGCGGCAAGUUGAAUAUCGGUAGCCUGCUUGCCUUCCAAGAUCCUACUAUGAGACUGGUCUACCUCUCCCUCAUCAUCCUCUUCCUCAUCACCGACCCCAUCAGCGUUAAGAUUUGGUAAAAUCUUCCGCUGAACAGCAUCGGACGGGCGGAUGCCGCUCAGAAGGAAAAGCCAUUUUUUGCAAACACAAGCAGAUUUGGUCCUCUCCUUACUCCCUGGAAGUCGCCGGAAGAUCUCAAAGAGGCACUCGUCGGGAAGAUAGUUGACAGUGUCGGACUGAUGCUCUUCUUCAUUAGCCUUUCUUUCUCUCCUUUCCGAGAUUACUGGGGAGGAGGAAAUCCUGGGCAUCUUGCGAGGUCGGCUGUGGGCAUCAAGAUCGGAAGGCAUAGAAGAGACAAAGUGGAAUCCAAAGCAGGGUUUCUCGAGGUUGAUAUCAUCGUCUCCUGAGAAAAUUGCAGGGGAACUAAUUGAUAAAACCGAGUUUGGUAUUGUUGUCAUUUUUUUGUUUCUCGAAAAACACAAAUUCCACCCAACAGAGCCUGCGGGCAGAUGUCUACUGGUUUUACUUGGCAACAAAAAUUUUGAACUUGGUAGUAACUUUUUUUUUUCGCAUUUUUAUUAUUACAAAGAAGAUGCUGUUCAGCAUCAAGCUGGGUGCAUUGGCAAGCUACUCAGUAAUAACACGAACAAAGAAGUCCAUUUGCCGGUGCAUCUAAUCAUUUAAAAUUUGCAUUUAAAACAUUAUAAAAAGAGCAAACAAGGCAGGAAAUUCUAGAUGGUUGAUUCAAAAAUGCAAAAUUGAAACACGGAACCGUGUAAUCUACGCCAAUAUGAUAUGAUCUCCUAAAAGCUUAAUACGUACAUGUAUAUAGCCUAGAAAACCUAAUAUAUGUCACUGAAUAUCUACAAAAGAGGGGAAAAAACGAAAUUUUCCAAAUUUGAAACCCUAAGACUCCCAAUUAAGCCAAAAACAGAGAGGAAUAACAGCAAUUAGGACAUCGCUCGAUCAAUAAAUUCCGAAGAGACAUGAAAUUGAAGCGACUACCUUCGUAGUUGGCGAUGGCCAUCAGUGGUGACGAAGGAGACGAUUCCGAUCGCGAUUACUGAAUAACAGGAAAUCGAAGACGAAGAAGACGAAUUCGAGUUCAUCUACGGGGGAAUCGGGUUUCGCACGGGUAGGAGAGCGCCCCCGAUCAGGGGAUCGUUCUCAAAACCCUAAUCGCGUUUAGGGCUUAAAACGAGCGAGAGAAAGAAAGAGAGAGGGGAGAGAGAGAGAGAGAGAGAGAGAGACUCGACGUUGAGUCUUUGAGCGAGAGACAGGCCGAAGCAACUUAACACGCGUCACGUGAUUGGCACGUGCACUUUGUCCACCUGUCCAUAAACUUAGCGGGUUUCGGGUUUCGGAUUGAAUGUUCGAAGCCUCUCCUGAAAAGAAAUUAUUACGUGGACCAGGUGCACCGUAGACCGCCAGAAUUAUUUAAUGUUUAAUGUGUUCAAAUUAACAUUUUAUUUGCAUAGCUAUGAUCUAAGAAAAAAAAAACUCUAUGCAUAAAAAAUUAUACUAUAGUUUUGAGAACUUAUUAACUAUGUAUUGAACGGUCUAAAUUUUUUUUUUUAAGAGAUAGAUAGCACGCUACCUACUUCGUUUAUUUCAUUUAGAAAUAAACUUAGCUAGAAAUGUGAAUCAACUAGGAUUCGAACUUGGGUCUCGGGUACCAACCACCAAGCCCUUUGCCACUUACUCUAGGGAUGGUCGGUACGGUCUAAAAAAUUAAUAGUAUAGAACGAGAGACUAUUUGAUCCUAUGAUAUAAAGAUGUAUUGGUAAAAUACCUCGCUACACUACAGAGCACAUGUAAGUCGUGAUCGUGAAUGUUUGGGAUACACAUUGAAACUGGUGAGCUCACCACAGAUUGUAUAGGACCAAAGUAUGUGCUCUCUCACGAGACAGCAAGUUUUCAUUGUGAUUUUUAGUUCAAAAAAUAUCGUAGGUUCACGAGCUAAUUAUUUUUAUUGUAACAAACACAGCUUAGAUGUUCAUAAUUUGUGACUUCGUAUGUAAAUCUUCCGAAUAUUAUAAAAUAUAAGUAACUAAUUAAAUUUUAAUUUUAAAAUUUUUAUGAUAGCUAGAGUUUUAGGUUAUGGUGCACCGGGUGCAUGAAAAGAGGAAAACAAAAAUAUGAAAGGGAAAAAGCAGUAGUUGGCACUUAGCGGUAGUGAUGAGCAUCUUCCAAAUGCAGUCAAAAUUUUUAAUUUUUUAAUUUUUUAAUUUUUUUUUUUUUUAUGUGGGGUUACUGGUUAGGAAUUAUUGCAAGUGCGCCCUUUAUAAAGGUUUUUUUUUUUUUAAAAAAAAAUGGCCCUUAAAACAAAAUUUAAUUUUGUGACGUGAUCGAGUUACAAAUUCUUAGUACACAUUUUGCUUAAUGCAAUUAAAAUUAAAUUUAAAUUCUAACUAACCUUGUUCUCAUCAAGGAACAAAUUUAUUCCAGAAAAAAUGUGGAAUAGCAGUUUCAGUCUUAUACCAGCUUAUUCUUUAAACUCUGAAACUACUAUUCUCAGGUACCAAACAUCACGUUUAGAAACGAAGGGGGAAAACAAGGGCUUAUUUUCUCCUUGUUUCCGAACCAAAUGCUAUCUAAAAGUUAUAAUUUCGAUUGAGAAUUUAGUACAUGUUACCUUGAAAAACUAAUUUUUCAUCUUUUUCACAAAAAUAAAAACUUUAGUUUUCUGUCAAAUUUGAAAUUUAGUUCUUCAGUAAAACUAUUUUUGCUCGAAGACAAACAGACUAUUUGUGAAAUUAACCAAGAUCACGAACUGUUAAUCAAGUCAAACCAUUUGUUUGGUUCACCAAAGGGGGAAUCGAAAUAGACAAGAAUAAGAAAAAGAAAAUCAUAAAAUUGCCUCCAUCACCGACCGUUCCUAACGCAAGUGGCAAAAAGGUUGGUGGUUGGUGGUUGGUAUCCGAGAUCUCGAGUUCGAGUCCUAGUUGAUUCAUAUUUUUAGCUAAAUUUAUUUCUAAAUAAAAUAAACGAAGCAGGUAGCAUGCUACCUAUCUCUCAAAAAAAAAAAAAAUUGCCUCCAUCCAAAACUAAGAAAAAAAUUACUAAACUUAUUAGAAAAAUAAAUUAUUUAACAAA
rnacentral:lncRNA from 1 species